GACGAACGCUGGCGGCGUGCUUAACACAUGCAAGUCGAACGGUAAGGCCCUUCGGGGUACACGAGUGGCGAACGGGUGAGUAACACGUGGGUGAUCUGCCCUGCACUUCGGGAUAAGCCUGGGAAACUGGGUCUAAUACCGGAUAGGACUCCGGACUGCAUGGUCUGGGGUGGAAAGCUUUUGCGGUGUGGGAUGGGCCCGCGGCCUAUCAGCUUGUUGGUGGGGUGAUGGCCUACCAAGGCGACGACGGGUAGCUGGCCUGAGAGGGUGACCGGCCACACUGGGACUGAGAUACGGCCCAGACUCCUACGGGAGGCAGCAGUGGGGAAUAUUGCACAAUGGGCGCAAGUCUGAUGCAGCGACGCCGCGUGAGGGAUGACGGCCUUCGGGUUGUAAACCUCUUUCAGCAUCGACGAAGCGAAAGUGACGGUAGGUGCAGAAGAAGGACCGGCCAACUACGUGCCAGCCGCCGCGGUAA
rnacentral:rRNA from 1 species